UCUUCCCUCUGGCGGCGUGCCUAAUACAUGCAAGUCGAGCGAACAGACGAGGAGCUUGCUCCUCUGACGUUAGCGGCGGACGGGUGAGUAACACGUGGAUAACCUACCUAUAAGACUGGGAUAACUUCGGGAAACCGGAGCUAAUACCGGAUAAUAUAUUGAACCGCAUGGUUCAAUAGUGAAAGACGGUUUUGCUGUCACUUAUAGAUGGAUCCGCGCCGCAUUAGCUAGUUGGUAAGGUAACGGCUUACCAAGGCAACGAUGCGUAGCCGACCUGAGAGGGUGAUCGGCCACACUGGAACUGAGACACGGUCCAGACUCCUACGGGAGGCAGCAGUAGGGAAUCUUCCGCAAUGGGCGAAAGCCUGACGGAGCAACGCCGCGUGAGUGAUGAAGGUCUUCGGAUCGUAAAACUCUGUUAUUAGGGAAGAACAAAUGUGUAAGUAACUAUGCACGUCUUGACGGUACCUAAUCAGAAAGCCACGGCUAACUACGUG
rnacentral:rRNA from 1 species